rnacentral:sRNA from 1 species
GGAUGGAUCACCUCCUUUCUAAGGAUAAAGUUAUCAUCUUCAGUUUUGAGAGACUUAAGAAAGUUUUUCAUUUUUUAAGAUUCGGGCCUAUAGCUCAGCUGGUUAGAGCACACGCCUGAUAAGCGUGAGGUCGGUGGUUCAAGUCCAUUUAGGCCCACCAAAAUAGGUCACAUCUUAAAAAAGCUCUUUGAAAAGUAGAUAAACAAAGGUUAGAAAAUUAAAGGAACUAAGGGCGCACAGUGGAUGCCUUGGCACUAAGAGCCGAUGAAGGACGCAAUUAACGGCGAUACGCCACGGGGAGCUGUAAAUAAGUGGAGAUCCGUGGAUUUCCGAAUGGGACAACCCGUUGCAUUGAAGAUGCAUCAUCCUUGAAAAAGGAAGGAAACGCAGUGAACUGAAAUAUCUAAGUAACUGUAGGAAAAGAAAGUAAUAACGAUUCUGGUAGUAGUGACGAGCGAACCCGGAAGAGCCUGAUGCUAUUUCUAGUUACCAAGUUUUUGUCAAGUAGAAGCUUUUGGAAAGAAGCACCAUAGAAGGUGACAGUCCUGUAAACGUAAGCAAAGACCUAGAGCAUCGAUAAGUACGGCGUAGACACGAGAAAUCUUGUCGGAAGAUGGGAGGACCAUCUCCUAAGGCUAAAUACUACUUAGUGACCGAUAGUGAACUAGUACCGUGAGGGAAAGGCGAA